rnacentral:misc_RNA from 1 species
AAAAACAAUUCCCCCACUCAACCUUGUUAAUAAGAAACCAAACCCGACCCAUAUUUUCUCCUACCACCUAGUUUCAUAUACUACUUUUCUCCAAACAAAAACACAACAUUGCAUACAUGCUUCCAACCGACAAGCAUAAUUAAAAGAUAAUAAAACACAUAAAUUGGAGACAUCAGGAGAAAUCAAUACCUAAGCAUAAACCAG